UACGAAGGGGGCUAGCGUUGUUCGGAAUUACUGGGCGUAAAGCGCGCGUAGGCGGUGAUCUAUGUCAGAGGUGAAAUCCCGGGGCUCAACCCCGGAAUUGCCUUUGAAACGGGAUCGCUAGAGUCCGAGAGAGGAUGGCGGAAUUCCUAGUGUAGAGGUGAAAUUCGUAGAUAUUAGGAAGAACACCGGUGGCGAAGGCGGCCAUCUGGCUCGGUACUGACGCUCAGGCGCGAAAGCGUGGGGAGCAAACAGG
rnacentral:rRNA from 1 species